rnacentral:rRNA from 1 species
CAAGGCUUAAAUGUAGAUUGACCGAUUUGGAAACAGAUCUUUCGCAAGACAAUUUACAAGGUGCUGCAUGGUUGUCGUCAGCUCGUGCCGUGAGGUGUCAGGUUAAGUCCUAUAACGAGCGCAACCCCUGUUGUUAGUUGCCAGCGAGUCAUGUCGGGAACUCUAACGAGACUGCCAGUGCAAACUGUGAGGAAGGUGGGGAUGACGUCAAAUCAUCACGGCCCUUACGCCUUGGGCUACACACGUGCUACAAUGGCCGGUACAGAGAGCAGCCACUGGGUGACCAGGAGCGAAUCUACAAAGCCGGUCACAGUUCGGAUCGGAGUCUGCAACUCGACUCCGAGAAGCUGGAAUCGCUAGUAAUCGGAUAUCAGCCAUGAUCCGGUGAAUACGUUCCCGGGCNUUGUACACNCCGCCCGUCAAGCCAUGNAAGCUGGGGGUGCCUNAAGUCGGUGNCCGCAAGNAGCUGCCUAGGGUAAAACUGGUAACUAGGGUU